ACCUCCCCAUCAUGCUAACACCGCCUACUUGGGCCUAGCUGAUGGGCCUCCCCGUGUACUCCAUCAACAGUAUGGCCAAGCUUAAGGCUCAGUU
rnacentral:snoRNA from 1 species